rnacentral:rRNA from 1 species
AUUGAACGCUAGCGGGAUGCCUUACACAUGCAAGUCGAACGGCAGCACGGACUUCGGUCUGGUGGCGAGUGGCGAACGGGUGAGUAAUGUAUCGGAACGUGCCCAGUAGCGGGGGAUAACUACGCGAAAGCGUAGCUAAUACCGCAUACGCCCUACGGGGGAAAGCAGGGGAUCGCAAGACCUUGCACUAUUGGAGCGGCCGAUAUCGGAUUAGCUAGUUGGUGGGGUAACGGCUCACCAAGGCGGCGAUCCGUAGCUGGUUUGAGAGGACGACCAGCCACACUGGGACUGAGACACGGCCCAGACUCCUACGGGAGGCAGCAGUGGGGAAUUUUGGACAAUGGGGGAAACCCUGAUCCAGCCAUCCCGCGUGUGCGAUGAAGGCCUUCGGGUUGUAAAGCACUUUUGGCAGGAAAGAAACGUCGCGGGUUAAUACCUCGCGAAACUGACGGUACCUGCAGAAUAAGCACCGGCUAACUACGUG